GAUGGACGCUGGCGGCGUGCCUAAUACAUGCAAGUCGAGCGAACAGACGAGGAGCUUGCUCCUCUGACGUUAGCGGCGGACGGGUGAGUAACACGUGGAUAACCUACCUAUAAGACUGGGAUAACUUCGGGAAACCGGAGCUAAUACCGGAUAAUAUAUUUAACCGCAUGGUUCAAUAGUGAAAGACGGUUUUGCUGUCACUUAUAGAUGGAUCCGCGCCGCAUUAGCUAGUUGGUAAGGUAACGGCUUACCAAGGCGACGAUGCGUAGCCGACCUGAGAGGGUGAUCGGCCACACUGGAACUGAGACACGGUCCAGACUCCUACGGGAGGCAGCAGUAGGGAAUCUUCCGCAAUGGGCGAAAGCCUGACGGAGCAACGCCGCGUGAGUGAUGAAGGUCUUCGGAUCGUAAAACUCUGUUAUUAGGGAAGAACAAAUGUGUAAGUAACUAUGCACGUCUUGACGGUACCUAAUCAGAAAGCCACGGCUAACUACGUG
rnacentral:rRNA from 1 species